UUCCCCCACCACCCUAGCCAUGGUCUCUUCUCACUGUUGACAUCAGGAGGAAGCAAUAGGAGCUACACCACCAAGUUUAGGAACAGUCAUUACCCCUCAACCAUCAGGCUCUUGAACCAGUUGUAAUAACUUAAUUUGUUCCAUCACUGAACUAUUCCUGCAAAUUGUGGACACACUUUCAAGGACUCUUCAUCUCAUGUUCUAGAUAUUUAUUGCUUACUUAUUUAUUAUUAAUAUUUUUUAUUAUGUGCACAGUUUGUCAUCUUUUUCACAUUGGUUGUUUGUCCUGUUGGGUGCAGUAUUUCAUUGAUUCUAUAUCUUGGAUUUUCUGAGGAUGCCCACAAGAAAACUAAUCUCAGAAAGUAAAGUUCACUCCAAUCACCAUGAAGAAACCAACAUUUUGAAGCCUGUUUUUUUUAAAAAAAAGCAACUGAUUGUCAUUAAACUGCAGAUGCUGGAAAGGUGAAACAAACAGAAAUUACUGGAAACACUCAGCAGAUCAGAGAAACAGGGCAUGUCCUCGCCUCUUCACUCCAAGCACGUCCAGUUCAAAGUUCAAAUGUUGGCAGCUGUACUCCUUUAAAUCAGAAACAAAACUGCAGAAUAGAGCAAAUUAUCCUAGGGAAUGAAUCUCAAAAGUGGUAAGUGAAGCCCAAAUUAUCCAAUCUAAUAU